GACGAACGCUGGCGGCGUGCUUAACACAUGCAAGUCGAACGGAAAGGCCCUGCUUUUGUGGGGUGCUCGAGUGGCGAACGGGUGAGUAACACGUGAGUAACCUGCCCUUGACUUUGGGAUAACUUCAGGAAACUGGGGCUAAUACCGGAUAGGAUCUCUUGCUGCAUGGUGGGGGUUGGAAAGUUUCGGCGGUUGGGGAUGGUAUCGCGGCUUAUCAGCUUGUUGGUGGGGUUGGUGCUUACCAAGGCUUUGACGGGUAGCCGGCCUGGGAGGGUUACCGGCCACAUUGGGCCUGAGAUACGGCCCAGACUCCUACGUGCGGCAGCAGUGGGGAAUAUUGCACAAUGGGCGGAAGCCUGAUGCAGCAACGCCGCGUGCGGGAUGACGGCCUUCGGGUUGUAAACCGCUUUCGCAUGUGACGAAGCGUGAGUGACGGUAAUGGGUAAAGAAGCACCGGCUAACUACGUG
rnacentral:rRNA from 1 species